rnacentral:rRNA from 1 species
CGCGCGCAGGUGGUUUCUUAAGUCUGAUGUGAAAGCCCACGGCUCAACCGUGGAGGGUCAUUGGAAACUGGGAGACUUGAGUGCAGAAGAGGAAAGUGGAAUUCCAUGUGUAGCGGUGAAAUGCGUAGAGAUAUGGAGGAACACCAGUGGCGAAGGCGACUUUCUGGUCUGUAACUGACACUGAGGCGCGAAAGCGUGGGGAGCAAACAGGAUUAGAUACCCUGGUAGUCCACGCCGUAAACGAUGAGUGCUAAGUGUUAGAGGGUUUCCGCCCUUUAGUGCUGAAGUUAACGCAUUAAGCACUCCGCCUGGGGAGUACGGCCGCAAGGCUGAAACUCAAAGGAAUUGACGGGGGCCCGCACAAGCGGUGGAGCAUGUGGUUUAAUUCGAAUCAACGCAAAGAACCUUACCAGGUCUUGACAUCCGCUGGGGACCCUACAGAUAGGGCUUCUCCUUCGGGAGCAGAGUG